AACCUGCCCAAGAGAUCGGGAUAACACCUGGAAACAGAUGCUAAUACCGGAUAACAACAGAUGAUGCCUAUCAACUGUUUAAAAGAUGGUUCUGCUAUCACUCUUGGAUGGACCUGCGGUGCAUUAGCUAGUUGGUAGGGUAACGGCCUACCAAGGCGAUGACGCAUAGCCGAGUUGAGAGACUGAUCGGCCACAUUGGGACUGAGACACGGCCCAAACUCCUACGGGAGGCAGCAGU
rnacentral:rRNA from 1 species